UACGUAGGGUGCAAGCGUUGUCCGGAAUUAUUGGGCGUAAAGAGCUCGUAGGCGGUUUGUCGCGUCGAAUGUGAAAACCCGGGGCUCAACCCCGGGCCUGCAUUCGAUACGGGCAGACUAGAGUUCGGUAGGGGAGUCUGGAAUUCCUGGUGUAGCGGUGAAAUGCGCAGAUAUCAGGAAGAACACCGGUGGCGAAGGCGGGUCUCUGGGCCGAUACUGACGCUGAGGAGCGAAAGCGUGGGGAGCGAACAGG
rnacentral:rRNA from 1 species